rnacentral:lncRNA from 1 species
UUUAACUCUCCAGGUGACCCUAACGUGCAGCCACUGCUGCAAUCCACCCCCAAUCAAGCCAGUCCCCAGUGAACUGUGGGCAUUCACUCAUAACUGGCACAGCCAUCCCCUGAAAUCUGUUGCGAGGAACAAUACUCAAAGGCUAACUACAGUGAAAUAUGUUUAUAAGAUGAGUUGUAAGUUUGUCAUAGCUUUACUUGGCCUAAUGGUUAACUACAUCAAAAGAAAAAAAAAUCAUAAAUAUAACAUGAUUUAUUAAGCUUUAACUAAAGUACACUUCUCAUGUAAGCCCACAGUGGGUUCUCAGAAGAGAAUGAGUAGAGCUGAAGUUUCAAGAGAAACACAACAACAAAAAGGCAAAAUUGACCAAGACAGAAGAGUGGAGGAAAGUUACAAUUCUUGCAGCUGGGACUAUGGGCAUGCUACCAUGCCUGGCUAAUUUUUAAAUUUAUUUUGUAGUAGAGACAGUGUCUCACUAUGUUGCCCAGGCUGGCCUUGAACUCCUGCCCUCAAGGGAUCCCAAAUAAAUAUAUUUAUUUCUAAAUUCAUUCUAAAUGUUUGCAAUGUUAAGUAUGUGUGGCAAAAGAACAGAUACCUUUCAUUUUUUCAAUCACCUUUCAAAUAUUGUUACAAAAGCACAUAUUACUGUGAAAUAGUCGUAAUUUCAGAAAGAAAUUAUUCUUCAUUCAACUUCUCUUAAGAUUUUUAAUUAAACUUUUUAUUUUGAAAACAUUCAGAACCUCUCUAUAUUCUACACAUUUACAGUGCAAUUAUCAAAUUUAGAAAACUUAACAUUGACACAAUGCUAUUAUCUAAUAUGUGGUGAAUAUUCAAAUUUUGUUGAUGGUUACAAAAUUGCCUUUUUCUGAAGUGCUCAGGGUCUUUUUGUUUUGCUGACGUCUCAGUUUGGGUAUCACUUGGUUAAGGUGGUGUCAUCCAGAGUUAUCUUCUGGAAAGGCACCUUCUAUCUUGGAUAGGAAGGAAUUUAAGAGCAGGCACUAGGCAACUGUAAAUAUCACCCCACAAUUCCACUGAAUGAUAUUAAUAUUCAGCGACGAUCUUUGCCCGGGCCAACAAUUAUUAUGGUGGUUUCAAAGCCCUGGCCAACAUGGCGAAACCUCAUCUCUACUGAAAAUACUAAAAUUAGUGGGGCGUGGUGGCGAACGCCUGUAAUCCCAGCUACUUGGGAGGCUGAGGGAGGAGAAUCGCUUGAACCUAGGAGGCAGAGGUUACAGUGAGCCAAGAUCAUGCCACUGCACCCCAGCCUGGGCGACAGAGCAAGACUCCGUUUUGAAAAAAUAAAAUAAAAUAAAUAAAAUUCCUCCCUACGAGACAUGAUACCACUAACUCACCCCUCUUCCCAAAUUUGCAAAUCAAGUUAUUAAAGCUCUUUUCAAUUCAUUUUUCCUUUCUGAACAAUGACUAUUUAAUAUAAAGAGUUAACUCGUUCUGUUUUUCAAUACAAAUAAGAAUUACAAACUGUAGAGCUAUUUCUAGCAGAAGUACUUUCUUACGGAACCAAUUUUUCUUCUGAUUAAUUCAAAUUUAUUUUAAACGUGUGAAAGAAUUUCAAAUACUGUUACACAGAUAUUCUAAAUGUCUAAAAUCAACUCUGAAAUAAAGUCCCUACCUGGAGCCUCCCUGGCUCACUUUCUCUUCCUUAGCUAUUCUCUUUUUCUUUCUUCCUGUAUUUUUUCAUUGCAAAUCUUAAAGUCGUGGUAAGACCGAAAACAAGCAAACAAUUAACUGCACAAGGUAACCCCCAUUAGAGAUAGUGCUGUGAAUACCUGCAGAGGGGGCUGUGGAAACAGUGACAGGCUGCACAUGGGGUGGGGGUGGGAGUGAGGAAGACCCAGGAGGGGCCUGGCAGGGGAGCCAGAAGGGCAAAGAGCAGCAGGAGCUCCGCAGGACUUAGUGGGUGAGCAGGCGGGCGAGUGAGGGUCUUGCGGGGUGCCGGGAGCAGGCGGGCGAGCGAGGGUCUUGCGGGGUGCUGGGAGCCCGCAGGACUUAGUGGGUGAGCAGGCGGGCGAGCGAGGGUCUUGCGGGGUGCUGGGAGUGGAUGCGCUAAAGUCUGAGAAGUGGCCAGGGUCCUGAUCGCCGGGGGGUCUGUCGUCCUCAGGGAGGAGCUGGACUUUCCGGCCAGCACAAAGCAAAGCCCUUUGAUGAGAUGCUUUGCUUCAGAAGUCACCUUGGCAGCUGCGUCAGGGAACGGAUGUAGCGGCUCAAGAGUGAACCCGGAAAGGCUCCUAAGGAGGUCCCUGCCUCAGUCCAGGCAAGGCUGUGGCCUAGACGAGGUGGCGGGCUCGUGUGGAUGUGGAGAGAGGUGGGUUUUAGGGGUAGAGCUGGUCCGACUUCCUGAUAAGUAGAUACGGAGUGGGAGGAGUCAGGAGGUCUGUUCCGGGCCCGCCAUUGUGGAGCCGGAAGGGAGGCCACGCUGACAGGGAAGCUGCUGUGAGGUGAAGAAGGUUCGCUGGUUUUCUGGCCCGUACCUGUGCAGGGGUCCCAGGGCCCGGUACUCUGUUCUUUGGCGGGAGCUGGUUGACCUUGUCUGAGGUCAUUGUUCAUCUACGCAUCAGGGUCCUUCUAUGAGUCUUCGAAGCCAGAACUAGCGAAGAGAGUCAGUCCAGCCCCUCCACGUUCCCUUCACUUUCUUGAGGAAGAAGGUCUGCAACAGGACCAUGUAAAACCAACGCGGAGGAGGAGAGAGAGAGAGAGACGGAGGGGAGACAGGGAGAGACGGAGCGAGAAGGGAGACAGAACGAGAGAGAGGGAGGGAGAGGGGGAGAGAAGACAGGGAAGGAUGGCGGGGAGGGAGAGAGGAAGAGAUAGGGAGAAAGACAGGGAGGGAGAGGAAGAGGCAGAGAGAGAAAGGGAGAGAGAGGGA